rnacentral:misc_RNA from 1 species
AACGCACAUUGCGCCUUCCAGUACUCUGGGAGGCAUGCCUGUCCGAGCGUCGUUUCAACCCUCAAGCCCUCGUGGUUUGGUGUUGGAGUCCUACAGUCUUGUAGUCUCCCAAAACCAGUGGCGGACCCGUCGCGGCCCUUCCUUUGCGUAGUAGCAUUCGCCUCGCAUCGGGAGCCCACGGGACUUUCUGGCCUCUAAACCCCCCACAAGUCCGCUCCGGCGGCACAAGGUUGACCUCGGAUCAGGUAGGAAUACCCGCUGAACUUAA